rnacentral:rRNA from 1 species
UACGGAGGGGGCUAGCGUUGUUCGGAAUUACUGGGCGUAAAGCGCACGUAGGCGGCUUUGUAAGUUAGAGGUGAAAGCCCGGGGCUCAACUCCGGAAUUGCCUUUAAGACUGCAUCGCUAGAAUUGUGGAGAGGUAAGUGGAAUUCCUGGUGUAGCGGUGAAAUGCGCAGAUAUCAGGAGGAACACCAAUGGCGAAGGCAGCACUCUGGGACGGUACUGACGCUGAGAGCGAAAGCGUGGGGAGAAACAGG